rnacentral:rRNA from 1 species
CCCUUAGAUGUCCUGGGCCGCACGCGCGUUGCACUGAUGCAUUCAACGAGCCUAUAACCUUGGCCGAGAGGCCUGGGCAAUCUUGUUAACGUGCAUCGUGAUAGGGAUAGAUUAUUGAAAUUAUUAAUCUUGAACGAGGAAUUCCUAGUAAACGCAGAUCAUCAAUCUGCAUUGAUUACGUCCCUGCCCUUUGUACACACCGCCCGUCGCACCUACCGAUUGGAUGGUCCGGUGAAGCCUCGGGAUCGUGGUUCUUGCCGCUUUAUUGUGGCGUGACCGCGAGAACUUGUCUAAACCUUAUCAUCUAGAGGAAGGUGAAGUCGUAACA